rnacentral:misc_RNA from 1 species
UCAGCGGGUAGUCUCACCCGAUUUGAGGUCAAGGGUUCGUGGGGUCGAGGGAGCUUCCCGAGAAGGGAGACAUGCUCGAACGUUGUCUCAACGCAAGGUUGAAGACGGUUAGAAGCGGGUCCCAAAGGUGACAGAGCCAGAAACCAAGACAUGGAAACAUCUUAUCACACGUCGAGGAUCAGCAAAGAGGACCCUGCUAAUUCAUUUAAGAGGAGCUGGCGAGAGGUGCCAGCAAAGGCCUCCAAAGUCCAAGCCUGCUUUGGUCUCCAGAAGAAACCAAGGAGGUUGAGGUUUUCACGACACUCAAACGGGUGUGCCCCUCGGAAUACCAGGGGGCGCAAGGUGCGUUCAAAGAUUCGAUGAUUCACUGAAUUCUGCAAUUCACAUUACGUAUCGCAUUUCGCUGCGUUCUUCAUCGAUGCGAGAGCCAAGAGAUCCGUUGUUGAAAGUUGUAUUGAUUGCGGGUUAGCGCAUAAAUGAGGUCAUUCUACACUUUUAAAAGGGGGGUUUUGUGUGAAAACGCGAGCCCCCUCCGAGAUGAUCCCAAAGGGGUGCCCACGCGGUGAUGCACAAAGGGUGAGAUGGAUUAUUAUGUGAGGCGACACACUCGGGCGUGCACGACUUUGAGUCAGCGACAGCCCUCGCAUGCCC